AGAUAAGUAGCAAAUUAUGCAAGUACCAGUACAUUAAAUUCCAACUCAAAAGACAUGGCUAUGCGAAAGAAGGCAUUAACAAAUAUAGCACAUAUUUGAUCAGAUACGUACUUUUGCACUACAUGCGAUCGAUUAAUUUACUAAUGUACUGCCUAAAUUUGAGCGAAUCAUCGGGGUACUCUGCACUCCUCAUCAUCCUGAGAUGUUCGAUGAACACAUACAGGAAUUCCCAAUCGCAACCUCGCGCUAUCAAUAGCCCCUCUUCUUUCAUCUUCUUUCUGGGCUGUGUGCAUGGACGAGAUUCGACUUCAGCUUUUCUCACUGGAACCUCCCGCUCCGGUCCCUCGGAAGAGGAGGAAGGCGCGACAUCCUGACUAAGCUGUUCUCCCUAACAUCGCAGGAGCUCUUGCAAGAGAAGACGGACAUCCUCUUGUUCCUCCACCGGGACUUGACCGGAUUGCUUUUCUUGCCUUCGUCCGAGCCCGACUCGUCCGAGUCCACGCUCUUCGUGCACUCCUUAUAAGCGGUGAGGAACGGGUCAUCCUCCCGCCACAAGAACCCCUUCAGCGAAGCGCUUCGCCUUGGGACCCUUGCCACCGCCGCUGCCGCCAUACCCGGUGGAGGAGGGAUCUUAUCCUUCCGUGCUUGGGCCAACCCUUGAGACCCAGAACUCGGUGGCGACGUCGGAGGUGGGCUCGGGGCAAGCGAUGACGAUCUCCUCUCUAGAUUCUGGUGGGCGGCCUUGGAGAUUCCAGGGCUGUGCUCCCAGGAGAAGGGUAUGACGAUGCUUCCUUGAGAACGAACCUUCCGGUGGUAACUCAUCUUUCCCAAAAUUCCUGAAAGCGCUAUGGCUGAAGUACAAUGUUGGGCAUAUCGCUGCGGCGUUUCUGUGGUUAUAAAGGAGCUUUCAUGCAUUCACUGCUCUCCAACUGCAGAAAUUUCCUCAAGUAGCAAGCAAGUAUGGCGUGAAGAGGAAGGCUUGAAGGAGAGGAUUCAAAGAACGAGAUGAUCAUGAAACGGAAGAAAACCAAUCUGCAUGUUUUAAUUAUGGGGUAUGUACAUUCUACAUGUCCGAAAGCUAUGCAUGAUUGGAAACGAGAAAUUAAUUGUGCCCCGACUGAAUAAUUAAAUUCCAUCUACGUUAGGUGAAGAGGGUAUCCAAUUUUCCUAGUGUAUUGUGAUCUUUUAUAUUUGUGUUGACAUUGCCUGGAGAAUAUGGUAGAUGGGUGGCGUGGAUGUCUAGGAUUUCUCGGCUAUUCGUCAAGCUUACUUAUAUUGACAAUGGGAAAAAUUAACAUAUAUUAGUCUCCCGUGGGAUAUAGAUUCGACUGUAUUUUAAGAAUUUGUCCCCAAAAUGACAAUUUGAUGAUUGUUAGGUUUAUGUGUAUUAAAUGCAUCAAGGGGAGAAUCUUUGUCAGCUUGUGAUGGUCCAUGAAAUGAUGC
rnacentral:lncRNA from 1 species